rnacentral:tRNA from 1 species
GGUUGUGGCUCAGUGGUAGAGCACUUGCCUUACAUAUAUGAGGCUCUGGGUUCGAUUCUCAGCACUA